rnacentral:tRNA from 1 species
GCUUCCCUGCAGCUAGCUCAGUUGGUUAGAGCAUGGUGCUGAUGACACCAAGCUUGCAGGUUUGAUCUCUGUACGGGACAGCG